GACGAACCGUGCGAACGUUAUUCGGAAUCACUGGGCUUAAAGCGCGUGUAGGCGGGCCGGCACGUCCGUCGCUGAAAGCCCCCGGCUCAACCGGGGAAGUGGCGUGGAUACGGCCGGCCUGGAGGGGGGUAGGGGGACCUGGAACUUCCGGUGGAGCGGUGAAAUGCGUUGAGAUGCGGAGGAACACCGAUGGCGAAGGCAGCCCCCUGGGCUAACACUGACGCUCAGGCACGAAAGCGUGGGGAGCAAACAGG
rnacentral:rRNA from 1 species